GUCGAGCGAAGUCUUCGGACUUAGCGGCGGACGGGUGAGUAACGCGUGGGAACAUACCCUUUGGUACGGAAUAGCCUCGGGAAACUGGGAGUAAUACCGUAUGUGCCCUUCGGGGGAAAGAUUUAUCGCCAAAGGAUUGGCCCGCGUUGGAUUAGCUUGUUGGUGGGGUAAAGGCCUACCAAGGCGACGAUCCAUAGCUGGUCUGAGAGGACGAUCAGCCACACUGGGACUGAGACACGGCCCAGACUCC
rnacentral:rRNA from 1 species